AAACGAUCGAGCUUGUCGUCUAUUUGUAUUGGUUUUGCCAUAUGGAGUUAAUUUUAAGGAUCAAUGUUUCACAUUUCAGAUUCAAAAUUUAGCGGAAAAUAUAAAUAAUGUACACACUAGGUGUUUUUAUCAAAAUUCAUGUUUGCCUACAGAAUCAUCUAUCUUGUUCCUUCCUCCUUUGAACUCGCUACUUUUUUGUAGGCAGUUCAGCAUGUGUAGAAUACAUUCAGAAAACCUAUUCCAAACCGUGCACGAAACAAGAUUGCUUCUCAUCUACAUAUAAUGGGGUUUAUGGCAGACAAAACAUUAACAACACUACAGAACUCUCAUCAGGUUUGCAUUUUCUUUUUGAAAGACGAAUUUUAUUAGCUGACAGUAAUUACUAGACGAUGGAUGCAGAUUGACCUACAUGUUUUGGUGUUCUCCUAUCCACCAAUUUCAAUAGCACUAUAGCUAUAAGAAACGAAUAUUCAUCGGUGCUUGAUGCGUCAUUGGUGACCACAGACUGGCUAUGGUUGGUACGCAAAUAAGAGUGAUCAAUGAACUUAUUAUCGUGAUUCCACUGUAUUGGGAAUUGCAAGCUUAGUUCGUAAUUAUCGGGAUUCUACUCUCAGCUUGCUCAGCUAUGCAACAUUUUGAAGUGGUAACAAAGCAUUUUUCUUCAAAUUUAAUCAGUAUAGUUCGCGAAAGCAGUCUUUAUGCAAAAUUUAUACUUUUUUUCAGACAAAUCUAAGUCAAUGUAUAAAGCUGGUGCCUAGUGAUGAUUUAAAGGUGACUGCUAAUCACUAGCUGAAGUUUUUGUAGGCAUAUCUGGCAGAAAGCUCCUUCAGUCACGUUUUCAGUUAGCAAAAUUGAAUGAAGUCUGAAGUCUUCUACAAAGUCCAUCUGGCGCAGGCAACGUUGUAUUACUUAUAGGGUGCAUUGGCAACUUCACAUAUCGUAGAAGCCAAAAAGCCUAGCCCCGGAAAAAUUCACUGCGAUUUUUACGAACUUCGUCCAAUUUUUUAUCAAAUAACCUACUUAUAUUACUGAUUUUCCUUUGCAAUUCUUCUUUUGACUAAUGACCCCGAACCGGAACAUGUCAAAAUAGCCUGUGUGCUCUCGGGGAGCACAGCCCCAAAAGCUGUAGCAACUUAAUGCUGACUUCAUCUCGCACAGCAAUUGACUUAGUGCACGAUCACCUAGCGUUAGCUCCGUCAGCAAGUGGUUAAGUUUAACCGUCUCACUCACUGGCAGGCGCUACUCUUUUAGUCUUUUGUAAGAGCAGUCCACCAGAACGUCUUAGUCAAGCUCCAUUGUCUCCUCAUCUAGCCGACCAGCACGUGUGUGAAGCGCAGGCGUCCGUUGUGACGCAGGCCAAAACGAAUUGGCCCGCUGCUGUAUGGCCAUGUCAGUUACCGAGGGACCCGCCUCUAUUCUGCUGGACAUCGAGAGCGGAAGCGAACAACCGACAAGAGAUCAAGUAGUGACAAAAUGGAAUCAAUAUCUGUCUGUCUACCACACUCGAUUUUCGGCAACGGCUAGACCGGGGACCACCUGCUAUAUGUAAAUGGAUUGACAAACCACCGAUUCUCGCAAAUCUCAUGAUAAUAGAUCAAGUCGUUUUCGAAUAAAUUGGGUGUGGCAGACAGAGAGACAGACAUCAAAUCGAUUCUUAUUAGAAAACCUUACAAACUUUCACUCUUGUAUCUCUAAUGUGUAUUUGAACGGCAACGAUUCAAUUUCAAAAGUUGAAAGCGACGCAAAAGCUCGGCGACUUCUUCGUUUCUACUAACUGAAAGCCACAAAUACUUCGAAUGUAGUUUGUUCCAACUGACUUACACAAUGGCGAAGAUGUGCCCGGCCGUCUCACUGUUCUAUUCAUUAACAUAAUCGACUAAGCACGACAUUAGUAGUCACCUUUAUUUAUUUUGGACGGCGGCGAUUUCUUCGUUAAGGUCACCACUUGUUAAUUUUGAUGAUUUUUCUAUUACACUCAGUUUGCAAUAUUUUCAGGCUUGUUUCUCACUUCAAAUAAGUAAUUAUUAAUCCAACCUAAAUGUCUUAAAACAUAAAUGCUAAUCAAAAUGAUAAAUGUUGCUGAAAAGAAAAUAAGAAAAAUAUAUUGAACCAACAGAAAAAUA
rnacentral:lncRNA from 1 species